rnacentral:rRNA from 1 species
AUUGAACGCUGGCGGCGUGCCUAACACAUGCAAGUCGAGCGGUAACAGGUGUAGCAAUACAUGCUGACGAGCGGCGGACGGGUGAGUAAUGCUUCGGAAUCUACCUUAUGGGGGGGAAUAACUAGCCGAAAGGUUAGCUAAUACAGCAUACGUCCUACGGGAGAAAGCAGGGGAUCGUAAGACCUUGCGCCAAAAGGUGGGACGAAGUCGGAUUAGCUAGUUGGUAGGGUAACGGCCUACCAAGGCGACGAUCCGUAGCUAGUCUGAGAGGACGACCAGCCACACUGGGACUGAGACACGGCCCAGACUCCUACGGGAGGCAGCAGUGGGGAAUAUUGGACAAUGGGGGAAACCCUGAUCCAGCGACGCCGCGUGUGUGAAGAAGGCCUGCGGGUUGUAAAGCACUUUUAGUGGGGAUGAAAUGUGCAGGGUUAGUACCUCUGCAUUUUGACCUAACCCACAGAAAAAGCACCGGCUAACUCUGUGCCAGCCGCCGCGGUAA